GGCCUGAUGGUCUAGCGGUAUGAUUCUUGCUUCGGGAGUGACAUCUCAGUCUUAUUUAAAGAGACUAUAGUUUGCGAGAGGUCCCGGGUUCAAUCCCCGGUCAGGCCC
rnacentral:tRNA from 1 species